AUUGAACGCUGGCGGCAUGCCUUACACAUGCAAGUCGAACGGCAGCGGGGACUUCGGUCCGCCGGCGAGUGGCGAACGGGUGAGUAAUGUAUCGGAACGUACCUUUCAGUGGGGGAUAACGUAGCGAAAGUUACGCUAAUACCGCAUAUUCUCUGAGGAGGAAAGCAGGGGACCUUCGGGCCUUGCGCUGAUGGAGCGGCCGAUAUCAGAUUAGCUAGUUGGUGGGGUAAAGGCUCACCAAGGCUACGAUCUGUAGCGGGUCUGAGAGGAUGAUCCGCCACACUGGGACUGAGACACGGCCCAGACUCCUACGGGAGGCAGCAGUGGGGAAUUUUGGACUAUGGGCGAAAGCCUGAUCCAGCCAUGCCGCGUGAGUGAAGAAGGCCUUCGGGUUGUAAAGCGCUUUCGGACGGGAAGAAAUCAUGAGGGCUAAUAUCCCUUGUGGAUGACGGUACCGUAAUAAGAAGCACCGGCUAACUACGUGCCAGCCGCCGCUGUAA
rnacentral:rRNA from 1 species